rnacentral:rRNA from 1 species
GAUGAACGCUAGCGGGAGGCCUAACACAUGCAAGCCGAGCGGGAUUUGUUGGUUAGCUUGCUAACUAACAAUGAGAGCGACGUACGGGUGCGUAGCACGUGUGCAACCUGCCUUUAUCUGGGGGAUAGCCUUUCGAAAGGAAGAUUAAUACCCCAUAACAUAUUGAUUGGCAUCAGUUAAUAUUGAAAGCUCCGGCGGAUAGAGAUGGGCACGCGUAAGAUUAGCUAGUUGGUGAGGUAACGGCUCACCAAGGCUGCGAUCUUUAGGGGGCCUGAGAGGGUGAUCCCCCACACUGGUACUGAGACACGGACCAGACUCCUACGGGAGGCAGCAGUGAGGAAUAUUGGACAAUGGGUGAGAGCCUGAUCCAGCCAUCCCGCGUGAAGGACUAAGGACCUAUGGUUUGUAAACUUCUUUUAUACAGGGAUAAACCUACUCUCGUGAGGGUAGCUGAAGGUACUGUAUGAAUAAGCACCGGCUAACUCCGUG